rnacentral:rRNA from 4 species
CCCCCAACUUCUGAAAAUUGAC